UAAUGCAUGCAUUGCACAUGUUUAAUGUAUAAAUUUUCCAUUAAUUUAAGGCAUGCAUAUGUGUGCAUCUCUCUUUUGACAGAUGUGACCUCAUGUGCCUUGAGGAACGGUGGAUGUGAUCACACCUGCUCGUUGGGUGCUGAGGGUCACAUCCAUUGCAGCUGCAGAGCAGGAUGGGAGCUCAGUGCAGACCAAAGAACCUGCAUUGAUGUGGACGAGUGUGUGAGUUUUAACGGCGGCUGUGAGCAGGUGUGUGUGAAUCACGCUGGCGGUUUUAAUUGCAGCUGUCGCUCAGGCUUUGAGUUGCGUAAAGACGACCCGACUAAAUGCCAUCGUGAGUCACGGCUGUUCACACACACUGACACAAUGACACUAGAUCAUCCAGAACACCCUCCUCAUGGCCGUACAUCAUUUUCCAGCGCUGUGUGAACCUGCCUGUCUGAACUCUGGAGUGUGUGUCGCUCCGAACACCUGCGACUGUCCGGCAGGAUAUCCUGGACCAGGAUGCUCGGGUAAUGUGUCGUAUGAUUGAGUUUAAUGCAGAAAGACUUUUUAACACAUUUGACAGACAGUUUUAUCACAAAUAGCAGGGCAUUCAUUUUUAAAAAUACUCUGUACAUACAAUGUAAAAUGGCUUACAGUUAUAAUAAUGAUGUAUAACAUGGUGGAAUAAUGAAUUAUUCCCCACUGAACAUAAAAUAAUCUGUUUUCUUGGAUUGAACUAUUUUUUAUGAUGUGUUUUAGUAUUGAGUUUUUAUAAUAAUAUUUGAAAAAUGUGUGAAACAUUCUGGAAUUGCCUUCCCUUUAAAGAAGUCUCUUCUGCUCAUCAAGGCUGCAUUUAUUUGAUCAAAAAUACAGAAAAAAAAACUAAUCUUGCAAAAUGUUAUUAGAAUAUAAAAUAAUGGUUUCUAUUAAAAUAUCCUUUAAAAUAUGAUUUAUAUCUGUGAUGCAAAGCUGAAUUUCCAGCAUCAUGACUCCAGUAUAAAAGUGUCACAUGAUCCUUCAGAAAUCAUUCCAAUAUGCUGAUUUAUUAUUAGAAUUAUCAAUGUUGGCAACAGUUAUACUGCCAAAUAUUUUUUUGGAAACUGCAAUACUUUUUUCAGGAUUCUUUGAUGAAUAAAAAGUUCAAAAGAACAGCA
ensembl:lncRNA